UACGGGGGGAGCAAGCGUUGUUCGGAUUUACUGGGCGUAAAGGGCGCGUAGGCGGCCUCCGCAAGUCAGUUGUGAAAUCUCCGAGCUUAACUCGGAAAGGUCAACUGAUACUGCGGGGCUAGAGUGCGGAAGGGGCAACUGGAAUUCUUGGUGUAGCGGUGAAAUGCGUAGAUAUCAAGAGGAACACCUGCGGCGAAGGCGGGUUGCUGGGCUGACACUGACGCUGAGGCGCGAAAGCGUGGGGAGCAAACAGG
rnacentral:rRNA from 1 species